AGAGUUUGAUUCUGGCUCAGAACGAACGCUGGCGGCGUGGAUAAGACAUGCAAGUCGAACGAGAGAAUUGCUAGCUUGCUAAUAAUUCUCUAGUGGCGCACGGGUGAGUAACACGUGAGUAACCUGCCCCCGAGAGCGGGAUAGCCCUGGGAAACUGGGAUUAAUACCGCAUAGUAUCGAAAGAUUAAAGCAGCAAUGCGCUUGGGGAUGGGCUCGCGGCCUAUUAGUUAGUUGGUGAGGUAACGGCUCACCAAGAUGACGGGUAGCCGGUCUGAGAGGAUGACCAGCCACACUGGAACUGAGACACGGUCCAGACACCUACGGGUGGCAGCAGUCGAGAAUCAUUCACAAUGGGGGAAACCCUGAUGGUGCGACGCCGCGUGGGGGAAUGAAGGUCUUCGGAUUGUAAACCCCUGUCAUGUGGGAGCAAAUUAAAAAGAUAGUACCACAAGAGGAAGAGACGGCUAACUCUGUGCCAGCAGCCGCGGUAAUACAGAGGUCUCAAGCGUUGUUCGGAAUCACUGGGCGUAAAGCGUGCGUAGGCUGUUUCGUAAGUCGUGUGUGAAAGGCGCGGGCUCAACCCGCGGACGGCACAUGAUACUGCGAGACUAGAGUAAUGGAGGGGGAACCGGAAUUCUCGGUGUAGCAGUGAAAUGCGUAGAUAUCGAGAGGAACACUCGUGGCGAAGGCGGGUUCCUGGACAUUAACUGACGCUGAGGCACGAAGGCCAGGGGAGCGAAAGGGAUUAGAUACCCCUGUAGUCCUGGCAGUAAACGGUGCACGCUUGGUGUGCGGGGAAUCGCCCCCCUGCGUGCCGGAGCUAACGCG
rnacentral:rRNA from 1 species